GAUUAACGCUGGCGGCGUGCAUAACACAUGCAAGUCGAACGCUGAAACUUAGUAGACUUCUUCGGAAAGACACUAAGCGGAUUAGUGGCGAACGGGUGAGUAACGCGUGAGUAACCUGCCUUACACAAGGGGAUAGCCUUUGGAAACGAAGAAUAAUACCCUAUAAAACCAUAAAAGCACAUGCUAGAAUGGUCAAAGUGAUAGCGGUGUAAGAUGGACUUGCGUCUGAUUAGCUAGUUGGUGAGAUAAAAGCUCACCAAGGCAACGAUCAGUAGCCGGCUUGAGAGAGUGUACGGCCACAUUGGGACUGAGACACGGCCCAGACUCCUACGGGAGGCAGCAGUGGGGAAUUUUGCACAAUGGGGGAAACCCUGAUGCAGCGACGCCGCGUGAUUUAGAAGGCCAUCGGGUUGUAAAAAUCUUUUGUAUAGGAAGAAAAUGACAGUACUAUACGAAUAAGGGCCGGCUAAUUACGUG
rnacentral:rRNA from 1 species